CCGAAACUGUAUUAAACGGUAUAAGAUCUAAACUUUUGUAAAGAAACGGCAGUAUGAAUAAAUAGCCUAAAAAGCUUACCAGAUCAGGUUUAACUGUGUCAACUGUGUGAUUUAAAUAGACGUGUUGGAUUUUAGACUUCGAAAUCGUGUUUCAGAAACAAAAGGAUUUAAGCAACACACUUUUAUUCAGCUUUUAGGAAUAUUUGCUUUUCAGUGCGGCUUUGUUGAGGAAAGACCACAAUGUUGACGGCAUUGUGUUUGCUGUUGAUGCUGUGUAAAUCACAAGGCAGCGGAAUAGCAAAGAGCCGAGAAGACAAUAGCGUAUAUGACUUAUUCGAGCUCGCAAAGGUAAAUAAAAAGCACCAUGGAGUGAGCCUAGUAAAGGGACCCGACCCUUACAGCCCUGCUUACAAAAU